GAUGAACGCUGGCGGCGUGCUUAACACAUGCAAGUCGAACGGAAAGGCCUGUACUUGUACAGGUACUCGAGUGGUGAACGGGUGAGUAACACGUGGGUGAUCUGCCCUGCACUGUGGGAUAAGCCCGGGAAACUGGGUCUAAUACCAUAUAGGACCACUUCUUGGAUGUUGUGGUGGAAAGCUUUUGCGGUGUGGGAUGAGCCUGCGGCCUAUCAGCUUGUUGGUGGGGUAAUGGCCUACCAAGGCGGCGACGGGUAUCCGGCCUGAGAGGGUGUACGGACACAUUGGGACUGAGAUACGGCCCAGACUCCUACGGGAGGCAGCAGUGGGGAAUAUUGCACAAUGGGCGCAAGCCUGAUGCAGCGACGCCGCGUGGGGGAUGACGGCCUUCGGGUUGUAAACUCCUUUCACUAUCGACGAAGCCACCUUGGGUGGUGACGGUAGGUAGAUAAGAAGCACCGGCUAACUACGUGCCAGCCGCCGCGGUAA
rnacentral:rRNA from 1 species